rnacentral:rRNA from 1 species
UACAGGGGGUGCAACCGUUGCUCGGAAUUAUUGGGCGUAAAGCGCGCGUAGGCGGCUACUUAAGUCGGAUGUGAAAGCCCUUGGCUCAACUGAGGAAGUGCACCCGAAACUGAGUGGCUUGAGUACCAAAGAGGGUCGCGGAAUUCCCGGUGUAGAGGUGAAAUUCGUAGAUAUCGGGAGGAACACCGGUGGCGAAGGCGGCGACCUGGGUGGAUACUGACGCUGAGGCGCGAAAGCGUGGGGAGCAAACAGG